rnacentral:rRNA from 1 species
UACGAAGGGGGCUAGCGUUGCUCGGAAUCACUGGGCGUAAAGCGCACGUAGGCGGAUCCUUAAGUCGGGGGUGAAAUCCUGGAGCUCAACUCCAGAACUGCCUUCGAUACUGAGGAUCUCGAGUCCGGGAGAGGUGAGUGGAACUGCGAGUGUAGAGGUGAAAUUCGUAGAUAUUCGCAAGAACACCAGUGGCGAAGGCGGCUCACUGGCCCGGUACUGACGCUGAGGUGCGAAAGCCAGGGGAGCAAACGGG